CCUACGGGUGGCAGCAGUGAGGAAUAUUGGUCAAUGGGCGCAAGCCUGAACCAGCCAAGUAGCGUGAAGGAUGACUGCCCUACGGGUUGUAAACUUCUUUUAUAAAGGAGUAAAGUGAGGCACGUGUGCCUUUUUGUAUGUACUUUAUGAAUAAAGAACGGAUAACUCCGUGCCAGCCGCCGCGGUAAUACGGAGGAUCCGAGCGUUGUCCGGAUUUGUUGGGUUUAAAGGGAGCGUAGAUGGGUUGGUAAGUCAGUUGUGAAGGUUUGGGGCUCAACCGUAAAAUUGCAAUUGAUACUGGCAGUCUUGAGUACAGUUGAGGUAGGCGGAAUUCGUGGUGUAGCGGUGAAAUGCGUAGAUAUCACGAAGAACUCCGAUUGCGAAGGCAGCUUACUAAACUGCCACUGACAUUGAUGCGCGAAAGUGUGGGUAUCAAACAGGAUUAGAUACCCCGGUAGUC
rnacentral:rRNA from 1 species